rnacentral:rRNA from 1 species
UACGUAGGGAGCAAGCGUUGUCCGGAAUCAUUGGGCGUAAAGCGCGCGUAGGCGGCCCGAUAAGUCCGCUGUGAAAGUCAACGGCUCAACUGUUGGAUGCCGGUGGAUACUGUCGGGCUAGAGUACGGAAGAGGCAAGUGGAAUUCCUGGUGUAGCGGUGGAAUGCGCAGAGUAUCAGGAGGAACACCUAUAGCGAAGGCAGCUUGCUGGGACGUUACUGACGCUAAGGCGCGAAAGCCAGGGGA